rnacentral:tRNA from 1 species
GCACCGAAUGGCGUAGUGGUUAGUGACCCUGACUACUGAGCAGAUGGUCCCGGGUUCGAUUCCCGGCUGGGGCA